AGCAGCUCAGCGCCCCAAACGAGCAGGUCGUUGCCUGAGGAUUUAAUGGAGAAAUCCCAAAGUGAGCCUGGGUGCGUGGUGGAGGAGGGGCGCGCUGCGGUUGGGAAGGAGGCCCGAGGAGCUCCAGGAGCUCGAGGAGCUCACGGUCCAGCCUGCCAGGCAGCCCCGGGCCAGCUGGCGCUCCCUGGCCAAGGCCACGCUCCCUUCUGUCGACAGCAGAUGGGGGAGGGCACUGGCCUGAUGUGCCAAGAGCUGGGAGCAGCCAUCCAGGUGACUAAGCCGGCCCCCUGGCACUGACUCACCUGCUGGCCCUGAGAUUUCUUCCUUCCUUUUCGCAUCUGAUUAUUUUGGGAGCUGGAAACUCCGAGCUGCACCUGGGUCCCGCCCCUUCUAGUUCUCCCCUCUCUACCUUGGGCUCCGAGGAAGAUGGGACCUAUCAGGAAUCUGCUGCCACCCCCUAAGGAUAUGGAGAAUGCUGUGGGGGCCCGAGGUUCCGGGAGAGAGAUGCUGGCCGGCCAAGUGCAAUAGCAGAUAUGGUGAUCGGGCUGCUGUGUCCUCUGGACGUGUCAGGAGAGAAGGCGAGAGCGGUGCGUGCUAACUGGAGUCCUCCCGGGCUGGCUUUGAACUCCCCUCCCGCAGGAUACUGCUGCACAUGAGUGGCUUCUAGGGUCAGAGUGGCAUUUGGAGAGCAAGGCUGGAUUGGCUUAGGCUGGCCUGGGCAGGGAGUGCCUCUUCCUGGGCUAGAGACAAGCACCGGCCUGCAGUGAGGAGCUCGAGGUGUGACGAGGUGUGACGCCCCCCCGAGGAGUGGCCACGGCCUCCGAGGACUGGCCGGGGAAGGUCCCCAGUCUUCCCUCUCCUCGUUGCCUGAGAGCGCUGCCCACGGAAGGGUGAGGAGUCCGGAGGAAGAGGAGGCGAGGAAGGCGGCCAGGAAGUGAGUGAGGAACCUUCAGCCCGGUAAGGUAUUCAGGAGCCUUCUCAAGACCUCCUUGAGGGACAAGCUGGAAGGGACAGUGGGCAGGCAGGUGGCCCUCCUGGGAUGUUCUUGGUACUGUUAGGCAGGGGCAGUGGUCCCUUCUAGGUGCCAUUUCUCCAAACUUAGUGGGUGUGCCUUGUAACUUCCACCAGCCCAGCCCCAGGCAGAUGCCCUGCCUGCCCCUGGCCCAGCCUCUGCUGUCAUGUGUGAUGCCUGUCUGGGGCGAGACAGGGUCACCAAGGUUGGUGCACUGAAUUCUUGCUUGGGAAAGAAGCUCCCAAACAGGAAGGGCAGUAGCCGGCGCAUCCCAGCCUGAUAGCUCAUUCCCCAGAUCUCCAACCUGCUAAAAUGGAUCCAGCUGUUCCCACACCCGUGGAUGAUGAGUGGCAUCCCAUCUGGAAUAUAGAUGCUGCUAGGAACACCAAGGGCUAAGACAUGAAGAGCUCCCGGGGUGUGGGCUGAGUUUUCUGUAUCUUGUCCUAUUCUGGUGUGUUUUAGGC